GACGAACGCUGGCGGCGUGCUUAACACAUGCAAGUCGAACGGAAAGGCCCUGCGUUUGUGGGGUGCUCGAGUGGGGAAGGGGUGAGUAACACGUGAGUAUCAUGCCCUUGUCUUAGGGAUAAAUUCAGGAGACUGGGGCUAAUACCGGAUAGGAGCUCCUGAUGCACGGUGGGGGUUGGAAAGUUUCGGCGGUUGGGGAUUGUCUCGCGGCUUAUCAGCUUCUUUGUGGGGUAGGGGCGUACCAAGGCUUUGAAGGGUAGCCGGCCUGGGAGGGUGGCCGGCCACAUGAGGACUGAGGUACGGCCCAGACUCCUACGGGAGGCAGUAGUCGGAAGUCUUGCGGAAUGGGGGGGAGCCAGAUGCGGCGACCUUGCGUGCGUGAUGACGUGCUUCGGGUUAUAAACCGCUUUCGCCGGUGACGAAGCGUGAGUGACGGUAAUGAGUAAGAAAGCACCGGCUAACUACGUG
rnacentral:rRNA from 1 species